rnacentral:rRNA from 1 species
GACGAACGCUGGCGGCGUGCUUAACACAUGCAAGUCGAACGGAAAGGCCCUGCUCUUGUGGGGCGCUCGAGUGGCGAACGGGUGAGUAACACGUGAGUAACCUGCCCUUGUCUUUGGGAUAACUCCAGGAAACUGGGGCUAAUACCCGAUAGGAGCUCCUGCUGCAUGGUGGGGGUUGGAAAGUUUCGGCGGUUGGGGAUCGACUCGCGGCUUAUCAGCUUGUUUGUGGGGUAGUGGCUUUCAAAGGCUUUGACGGGUAGCCGGCCUGAGAGGGUGACCGGCCACAUGGGGACUGAGAGACGGCCCAGACUCCUACGGGAGGCAGCAGUGGGGAAUAUUGCACAGUGGGCGGAAGCCUGAUGCAGCAACGCCGCGUGCGGGAUGACGGCCUUCGGGUUGUAAACCGCUUUCGCCUGUGACGAAGCGUGAGUGACGGUAAUGGGUAAAGAAGCACCGGCUAACUACGUG